rnacentral:tRNA from 1 species
UCUCUGGUGGCCCAGUGGCUAAGACUCCGUGCUCCCAAUGCAGAAGGCCCAGGUUUGAUUCCUGGUCAGGGAA